rnacentral:rRNA from 1 species
UACGUAGGGCGCAAGCGUUAUCCGGAAUUAUUGGGCGUAAAGAGCUCGUAGGCGGUUUGUCGCGUCUGCCGUGAAAGUCCGGGGCUCAACUCCGGAUCUGCGGUGGGUACGGGCAGACUAGAGUGCAGUAGGGGAGACUGGAAUUCCUGGUGUAGCGGUGAAAUGCGCAGAUAUCAGGAGGAACACCGAUGGCGAAGGCAGGUCUCUGGGCUGUAACUGACGCUGAGGAGCGAAAGCGUGGGGAGCGAACAGG